GGUCUCGUAGUGUAGCGGUUAACACGCCUGCCUGUCACGCAGGAGAUCGCGGAUUCGAUUCCCGUCGAGACCGCCA
rnacentral:tRNA from 1 species